rnacentral:rRNA from 1 species
UACGGGGGGGGCAAGCGUUGUUCGGAAUUACUGGGCGUAAAGGGCUCGUAGGCGGCCAACUAAGUCGGAUGUGAAAUCCCCAGGCUUAACCUGGGAACUGCAUCCGAUACUGGAUGGCUUGAAUCCGGGAGAGGGAUGCGGAAUUCCAGGUGUAGCGGUGAAAUGCGUAGAUAUCUGGAGGAACACCGGUGGCGAAGGCGGCAUCCUGGACCGGCAUUGACGCUGAUGAGCGAAAGCCAGGGGAGCAAACAGG